rnacentral:rRNA from 1 species
CACGUAGGGGGCGAGCGUUGUCCGGAUUUAUUGGGCGUAAAGAGCGAGUAGGCGGCCAGACAGGUCCGUUGUGAAAACUCGAGGCUCAACCUCGAGAUGUCGAUGGAAACCGUCUGGCUAGAGUCCGGAAGAGGAGUGUGGAAUUCCUGGUGUAGCGGUGAAAUGCGCAGAUAUCAGGAAGAACACCUAUGGCGAAGGCAGCACUCUGGGACGGUACUGACGCUGAGACGCGAAAGCGUGGGGAGCGAACAGG